rnacentral:lncRNA from 1 species
UGACUCACGUUCCCCUCAUGACUUGAGGCGGUGCCCCUGCUGCACCUCCACAGCAAACCUGCGCUCCGUGUCCUCCAUCCUGACUUCAUGAUAGGUGCUUUCAAAAUGGCAUAGACAUGACCUUGAGAAGCAUCAGCUGCCAGCUCUGCAGUGCACGUGUUCUGUCUCAUGAAGUACCACAUGGGUGACGGUGUUACAGUCAAGAAGUGUAUGAAGCACCAUGGAAAGUCUUCUGUGAAUUCCCACCCACCCACAUCAGGGCCGUGUGCAUCUGCUCUCACAUUGACACUCCGAGCUUCUGCUAGUGCCUCCCCUUUCUCCCUUCUUCUAUUUCCUCAAAAUUGUAUUUAUAAUUAAUUAUGCUCUAAGGGCUGUGCAAAUCACUAAAACAUAAAAAGAAACAAAGCAGGCCAGGUUUUGCCUUUCUGCAGCUUCAAUUAUAUAAAUAAGACAACUAAAUAAUUAUAAUUUGGAAA